ACAUAGUUUGACAGCAGUUUUCCUGAGCUAAUUUGCAUGCUGAGGGUGAGAUUGUGUGUCCUUUCAAUCUCUAUGGCUAUUUCUUGCUGGGUGCGAGAGCAUCCAGAGCACAUUGGCAAAUCCACUGACAGCACUUCCAUCCUGCGACCCUCCCCGGCGCCGAUUCCCGCCACUUUGUGGCUCGCCCUGUCCCUCACCGGACCUU